rnacentral:lncRNA from 1 species
CAAUUCAUGGAUACAGUUUAUCAUCUGGUUCUAGUAUGGCUUCAAUGGUAUCUUCAACAGCCUCUGAAAGCAAUUCAAUUAUGUGCAUAUGUAAAGCUUAUCGUCAAUUGAACUUACGUUCAACACCUAAACAAACACAGUCACUAUCUUCAUCCAAUUCAUCUUCAACUUCAUCUUCAACCACAUCUUUUACUUCAACAGAUGGUAAUAAUGUUACUGGAUCCAAUGUACAAAUUGUUGAGAGUCCUUAUGAUGAGUACAUACCUUGCCUUUGUGGUUCAACUUGCGAACAACGAUCUCGACUCUUUAAUUCGAAUUCG